GCUGCCCCAGCCGACCACAGCAAAGCUCCUCCGGCCGGUCGCCCUGAGGAGCGUGGACGGCCGGCUCAGGGAGUGUGCAGGCGGCCGCCCUAGGGAUCAUGGAGGCAGCCACCUCCACAAUUCCCAGAGUGGUCUCAUGCAGGCUCCUCCGGGAGGCCAUCUGCACACUCCCUGAGCCAGCCUCAGGGUGACCAGCCAGCUCCAUUGUCCGACUGCAUUUAGCUAAAGGGCUUUAAAUCCCAGGCGCUAGGGAAAAAUUUCUAGUCGCAAUGGCGACCUG